rnacentral:misc_RNA from 1 species
GAAGAAGAAGAAGAAGGGGGUGUGGAAGAAGGGGAUUUGAAAGAUGCUUUUGAUGUGUUUGAUUAUGAUAAAGAUGGAUUGAUAUCUGAGGAAGAAUUGAGUAAAGUGCUUUCAUCUUUGGGGUUAAAUCAAGGUAAGAGAUUAGAUGAUUGUAAAGAAAUGAUUAGGAAUGUUGAUGUUGAUGGUGAUGGAAUGGUGAAUUUUGAUGAAUUCAAGAAGAUGAUGAGAAAUGGUGGAAGGCUUAUUCCAAUUCCUUAGGAAGGGCAAAUUCCAUUUAUGUUACAAAAAACUAGUACUAGUAUUCAAGAUUCCUUUUUUUUUCUGACCCCGAUCGACAGUGUUUUCACUUACCCUCCAACGUGACUUGAAUCGUCAAUUCAGUACGAUCAACCGUGUUUUACGAUCUUAGUGUUUUUACUUAUCCUUUAGCAUGUCUCGAACUCUCAACCCUCCAACGUGACUUUAACCGUCAAUUCAGUAUGAUCAAUAGUGUUUUCACUUACCCUCCAACGUGACUUGAAUCGUCAAUUCAGUACGAUCAACCGUGUUUUACGAUCUUAGUGUUUUUACUUAUCCUUUAGCAUGUCUCGAACUCUCAACCCUCCAACGUGACUUUAACCGUCAAUUCAGUAUGAUCAAUAGUAUUUUCACUUACCCUCUAUCAUGAUCUUAUUGUUUUCACUUAUCCUUCAGCAUGUUUCGAACUCUCAACCCGAUUUAAACCGUCAAUUUAGUAUGAACAAUAGUAUUUUCACUUAUCCUGUAUUGUGAUCUUAGUGUUUUCCCUUAUCCUUCAGCA